CGUGGGUGAUCUGCCCUGCACUUCGGGAUAAGCUUGGGAAACUGGGUCUAAUACCGGAUAGGAGCCAUCUUUAGUGUGGUGGUUGGAAAGUUUUUCGGUUGUAGGAUGAGCUCGCGGCCUAUCAGCUUGUUGGUGGGGUAAUAGCCUACCAAGGCGGCGACGGGUAGCCGGCCUGAGAGGGUGUACGGCCACAUUGGGACUGAGAUACGGCCCAG
rnacentral:rRNA from 1 species